rnacentral:rRNA from 1 species
AUUGAACGCUGGCGGCAGGCCUAACACAUGCAAGUCGAGCGGAUGAAGGGAGCUUGCUCCUGGAUUCAGCGGCGGACGGGUGAGUAAUGCCUAGGAAUCUUCCUGGUAGUGGUGGAUAACGUCCGGAAACGGGCGCUAAUACCGCAUACGUCCUGAGGGAGAAAUUGGGGGAUCUUCGGACUUCACGCUAUCAGAUGAGCCUAGGCCGGAUUAGCUAGUUGGUGGGGUAAAGGCCUACCAAGGCGACGAUCCGUAACUGGUCUGAGAGGAUGAUCAGUCACAGUGGAACUGAGAGACGGUACAGACUCCUACGGGAGGCAGCAGUGGGGAAUAUUGGACAAUGGGCGAAAGCUUGAUCCAGCCAUGCCGCGUGGGUGAAGAAGGUCUUCGGAUUGUAAAGCACUUUAAGUUGGGAGGAAGGGCAGUAAGUUAAUACCUUGCUGUUUUGACGUUACCAACAGAAUAAGCACCGGCUAACUUCGUG